AUGGACCCAGCGUUGCACAAGGCGGCGGUGCAGGGGAGCGUGGCAAGCCUGAAGAAGCUGGUGGCCGAGAACCCCAACAUCCUUGGUUCCAAGACGCCCCAGCAGAACACCGCGCUGCACAUCGCCGCCGAGCUCGGCCACGCCGGCUUCGCCGAGGCGGCCCUUGGUGUGGACGACAAGCUGCUCGUCAGCAAGAACGCUGACGGGGACACGCCGCUGCACCUGGCGGCCAGGGCGGGGAAGGUGGACGUGGCGGACCUGCUCAUCGGCCGAGCCAGCGCAUGGCCCGCGGAGCAUCCGCGCCACUCCCCCGCCGCGCAGAAUGGAAAGGCCGGGGAACCUCCCCGGAGCUCCCCUGGCACCGCGCAGGGGCCUCUGUUCAUGGCCAACAAGGUCGGCGACACCCCGCUGCACGAGGCGGUGAAGCACGGCAGGAGCGCCGUCGCGCUCAGGCUGCUGGAUGCCGAGCCCGGCCGCGGCCACGCGCUCAACGUGAAGCAGCAGACGCCGCUGCACAUCGCUGCACGGGAGGGCCUCGCCGACGUCGUCGCCAAGAUCGUCAGCCAACCCUGGGUCCACGAGAAGUUCGUCCCCUCCGACUCCGUCAGCGGCACCGCCCUUCACCAGGCCGUCCUCGGCGGCCACGCACGCGUGGUGGAGAUCCUGCUUGACGCGACACCGCCGGACCAGAUCGGGCUGACGGACUCGAGCGAGAACAACGCGCUGCACUACGCGGCGCAGAAGAACAACGCCCGCGUGGUGAAGCUGCUGCUCAACCGGAAGGUGGACCUGGCCUACAAGCGCAACCGCGACCUGCAGUCGCCGCUGCACGUGGCCGCCUACUACGGCUCGACGGAUGCCAUGGUGGAGCUGCUCAAGCAGUGCCCCGACGUGGCGGAGAUGGUGGACAGCAACGGCCGGAACGCCUUCCACGUCGCCAUCACCAGCGGCAAGGUGGACGCCCUCAAGCGCCUGCUCAAGCACGUCCGCCCCGAGGAGAUCGUCAACCGCGUCGACCGCGCCGGCAACACGCCGCUGCACCUCGCCGCCUCCCUAUCGCGCAUCCAGUCGGCGCUGCUCCUGCUCAAGGACCGCCGCGUCAACCCCUGCGUCCUCAACCGGGAGGGCCAGUCCGCGCGCAGCCUCAUCGAGAAGCGCGCCGCCACGGAGGAGAUGGACACCUAUGAGAUGUACCUGUGGAAGACGCUCAAGAAGCACGAGGCCUCCAGGUGCAAGAAGGAGCAGCUGCCUCCGAUCGCCACUUACCAGUCGCUGCGCAGCCGGAGGGCUGGCCACGACGAGUACUACGAGCUCAGCGUCGGGACCUACACGCUGGUGGCCACGCUGAUCGCCACCGUCAGCUUUGCGGCCACCUUCACCAUGCCAGGGGGGUACAGCCAGACCGAUGGCACGGCCCUCCACGGCCACAAGGCGGCGUUCAAGAUCUUCGUUAUCUCCAACACUGUGGCCAUGUGCAGCUCCAUCGUCGUCGUCUUCUGCUUCAUCUGGGCAUGGCGGGACCCCGUCAAGUUCAAGCUCGAUCAGCUCAUGUGGGGCCACAGGCUCACCAUCCUCGCCUGCCUCGCCAUGGUCGUCUCGCUCAUGACCGCCGUCUACAUCACCGUUGCGCCCACGGCGAGGUGGCCUGCGUACGUUGUGAUCGCCAUCGGAGUCAGCACUCCCGCCGUGGUGUUCCUCAUCCUUGGGAAAGAGGCGUUGUACGUCCCAAUGUAA
rnacentral:rRNA from 1 species